AGCCCUUUCGCCAAGUGGUAAGGCACAGGAGUUUGAUUCCUGUAUUCGUUGGUUCGAAUCCAACAAGGGCUG
rnacentral:tRNA from 1 species